rnacentral:rRNA from 1 species
CAUGCGAGUCGUAUGUUCCCCUUUGGGGGAGCAUGGCGCACUGCUCAGUAACACGUGGAUAACCUACCCUUGGGACAGGGAUAACCCCGGGAAACUGGGGAUAAUACCUGAUAGACCAUGGAUGCUGGAAGGCACCGUGGUUCAAAGGGGAAACCGCCCAAGGAUGGGUCUGCGGCCUAUCGGGUUGUAGUGGGUGUAACGCACCUACUAGCCUACGACGGGUACGGGCUGUGGGAGCAGGAGCCCGGAGAUGGAUUCUGAGACAUGAAUCCAGGCCCUACGGGGUGCAGCAGGCGCGAAAACUUUACAAUGCGGGAAACCGUGAUAAGGGAACCUCGAGUGCCGAUGCAUAGCAUCGGCUGUCCAGAUGCCUAAAAAGCAUCUGAUAGCAAGGGCCGGGCAAGACCGGUGCCAGCCGCCGCGGUAACACCGGCGGCUCGAGUGGUAGCCACGUUUAUUGGGUCUAAAGCGUCCGUAGCCGGCUUAACAAGUCUUCUGGGAAAUCUGGCGGCUUAACCGUCAGGCGUCCAGGAGAUACUGUUAGGCUUGGGACCGGGAGAGGUGAGAGGUACCUCAGGGGUAGGGGUGAAAUCUUGUGAUCCCUGAGGGACCACCAGUGGCGAAGGCGUCUCACCAGAACGGGUCCGACGG